AUAGCUGUGGGUAAUUGUGCAGGGGGUUGUGACCAGGUGCAAAUCGUUUAUUCCUCAGCUGUGCCGUGAUCUGUGCUGGUUCUUUCUUCCUGCCCUCCUCACAGAGCAGUCUUGAGGUGAGGACAGGAGAACGUGGAGCUUCUGGAAUCUUCUUGUUCAGGCUCAGGUGAACCAGCCAUGAGUGUCCCCAAAGCAGCACCAAACUGCAACUCUGGUCAUCCAAGAUCCCAAGUGACUGAAGCUCAUGUGCUUGCAGAGGACCAGCUUGCUGUCAUCUCGUUGGCAUUCUGGUUUGCCGCUUGCAAUUAAAUCUAAAUGUUUCUACGUGCCUUCCCCAAAAGACGAGACCCCGCUUGCAAUGAGCUUCCCUGUGACAGGGAUCCAGCUUCCCACUGUGCUCGCUCCGUCUGACCUUUGGAGCACGGAAGGUUGAGAUGCACCAGCCUGCGGGGACCGGCGCGAUGUCUCUUAAUUGUGCUCUGUAAUCAGCGGCUCGUUUGCAUCCCUCCGCAAUGACACAGCUUUGUCCUCCAGCUGAGGGCACCACGGGAGGCCUCUCUGCAGGCAAAGGCACGAAGGAAGAUCAAGUGUUCCCGGCAGCUCUGCUUCGAUGCUGGGAGGCUCCUUGGAGCUGCGAGAGCGACCUCAGCGUGUGUUUUAUAUGGGGUGUUGAUUGGUUAGGGAAGCAUAAAAUACUGCCUAAACCCACGCUCUCUUGGGAAGCUUCCAUUACCCAGGGCAAAAUGGGACCCAAAGCGCUGGGAUCCUAAAAAGUAUCAAUUCCCUUAAAAAGAUGUGUGUGUGACCUUGGAUUAAUCCAAAGUCAGGAGAAAUAAGUCCUGCUCAGUGUUUCAUGAGAGUUUUCAGGCUCGUAGAAAGGGACCUGUGAUAGACAGCACAAUAAACUCUGCCGGGGUUAAACCGGGUGAAGCAGGGGAAACCUUCAUUGCAUCAUCAGGGGUCAAGGAGCUGCAAAGUUGUUCCACUUUUCCAAAAAAAGGAAGAGUGAAGGACCCGUACUUUGGUUUUGUUUUGGAUUAGUAAAAGUCUGUGUAUAAGCUCUGUAUAGAAGUGGAGGCACUUCAGAGUUUUGCACAAACAUCUCCACCCAAGCAGCAGUAAAAAUGGGCUGUUGAAGAAAUGGUGACCACUGGGGAUGGUCCAGGAGAGAUGUGACUUUGCUUCUUUAAGGUGUCCAUGGUUCAGGUGCUGAUCUGCCUGGAGAGCUGGAAAUGUAAGGGCAGAAAUGGCAAAAUAACCCCGGCCUGGAACCAAAGCACCGUGUGCUCAGAACUUGGUUGAACAAGACACUCUCUGACCGUGAAAUCAACUUUUGGGAAGGCUGAAGUAGAUAAGCUUAGCCCUGAAGCUGCUUCAGCCUGUGCAGGAGGUGAGCCUACAGUGUAGGCAGCUCUCUGAGUCCUUCCUGGAAUAUUUACCUUCUGGGAUCCUUUCAGGAGAAUUAGCCUUUCUCACAUAAAACAAUCAUUCCCUGCUUUGAUGGACUGUCCUGAAAUACAAUCUGCAUAAAUGGAACUGCUACAACCCUGUCCAGGUUGAAACACACAAUGUUGUAGGAAGAAAUAGCUGUGUUUUCCUUCAAGGGAAAAUUUCUUCAAGUCUUGACAGCUUUUGAAAAAAAAGAUGGUGUAUGUGGAGUGCAAGUCUUUGAUGGGGAAGUGAAACAGUGAAAUAAAAAAGAAUUAUAGCUCAGUUGUUUCACUUUUUAAAGGUGAGGUCUUAAAUUUCUAAAGUGGCCAUCCAGAUGCUAAAAGGCAUAACUUUUACAAUUUAUUACAGCACAUUUUCUCCUUUAUGUCCUAUAAACCACAGUAGAUGUUCUUGACCAUACACCUCUGUCAUAGUGUGUGAUACAUACCUGAAAUGUAUUCAGUCCCUCCAGCCAGGGGACACAGGGCUGUCUUUGCUGUGGCCUGUUCUACUGGUCCUGUGAUGAAGUUGGAAUGAACUUUAAAAUCUCAAGGGUAGUGAUGCCAAACCAGCAAAAUGGUAAAAAGAUCAUGUAAUCCAUGUUCUCCUGCAUGGACUGGGCUCUAGAGUAGGCCUGGCCUCUCAUGGGGUUG